CUACUGUCCCCAUAAUAGCGCAUCUCUGCAUCUCCUGCCGAUAGGCCGCUCGUUGCGUGUUUGAGGGAGCAGCCGGUGAAGGCGCGCUAUUGACAGCUUGCUUGCCCUUACUGCUGUCGAGGAAAUAAUUUUGAAAUAGAAAACGGGAGCUGGAAGAGCAGCUGCUGAAGGAGUUAUCAAGAGUCACCGCAGUUGAAAAUUUGUCAGAAUGAAACCGUUCAGAUGAAAACGUUCAGGCGCUGGGAAACCAAGUGCAACGUUAUUCUGCUUUAAAAGUGCUUCUGCCUUAGCGAAGAGACGCGGAGGAAAGAGAUGGGCACUGGCUCCACAGCUGCUGUAACGCUCACCUGAAUGCAUUAAAUCCAGGGCCAACCUACCAUGUGCUAAAUGACGGAUGGGCAGAAGGUAGAUUGGGAUCUACUGGUAGAUCUCUGGCUGAUUUGCAAUAGGUUGUUUAAGGUUAGCAACGACAAAAUUGCGUUUUCCCUUCUAAAUCGUUGCUGAAAUGAAGAGGGUUAACUAGGGUUUUAUUUUGGGGUGAACUGACAGAGCUGAGUUCACUUCUGGUACUGAAAACCAAUUAUCGGGCUCAGAAUGUGCUCACAGACACCCUGUUUUUUAACACUAUGUAUCUUUUGUGCUUGGCCCAGGUUGGUAGAUAUUGGAGUUUGGAACUAACUGAGUAGAUCCAAGACAGCUAAACUCUGUCUGUCUCUGAACUAAAUAAUAUACAAAGCAGACAUUGGGAAGCUAGUGGCCGUUUCCUAAAUAUGUUUACUUGAAGGUCCCAUUGUGGUCUUACGGGACUUACACACUAAUAAAUGUGUUUUGCAUUGUUUCAAACUACAACUUUUUAAAUCUUGGAUUCUAGUUUACGUUCAUCCAUAGUCAUAAGACCUGUGUUAUGAGAAGACGUGCACUCAAAUUCUCUUUUUUGUAAGUUCCAAUGCAGGUUCUAACAUAGAGAAAAGCAGUUGCUCCAAAUAAUAGCCCAAUCCUAUAUGGAUUUAGGUAUACCUGAUUCCAUUGAAAUUAAUAGGUUUACAGUGCAUAUGUCUCAUAUAUCCUAUAUCCAUAAGUAUAUACAAAAUUGCAGCUUUAAGUGCUGGUAACAUUGCAGAGAAAUAGGAAAUAAGAAUAUAGUAUAUACCUAUGGCUGUUCCUUUUCAAAAUAUGAAUACACUUUUGCACAGAAUAUUGCUUUGCAUUCAGAACUUCACAAGUGCUCUUCCAAGAACCAUACAAAUUAAAAUUAGAAGGAACAACCCAUUAUUCAUGGUCCCAUUUGUUUUUCUGGACAUUUCAAACAUCAUAGUAUUGGUGUUGCAAUUAUAAGAUAGUGCUCAACAUGGCUGACAGUACAUAAACAAAGAACAAAAUCCUUCAGCAAUAAACACCAAUACAUAUCAAUACUGCAAUCACAAUAUUAACCAUUUGGUUAAUAAGCUACAUUGCAAGUCAGCCAAACCUGACCAUCGCCAUCAAAUUUAACUGUUGUGUCCAUAUUUGCAACCUUUUUUUCCUUUUUUGUAAUUUAGUGUUUCAUUGAUUUUUCAGAGUCAAUAAUACAGAAACAUUAAAUAAAACUCUCUCUACAAAUAAAUAACAAUUACAUUCACCCUCUCCAGUGCCUCACUUUUAUUUUCAUUCACAGCAUCAAAUUAAAUAUAUAGAAAGCAAUUUCCUCUGAGAUAAUUAAUACAAAAAUAUCGUAAGACCCAUUGAACUCUCUUGCUGCUCAACAAAAAUCCACAGCAUUUCACUGUAUGUUAUUCUGUCUAUGAUUGCAGUCCUAACCCCACUUAUGUGGGUGUAAACCCCAUUGAAUUAAAUAUGACUUACCUCUGAGUAGACAUGGUUAGGUUUGCAUAGUAUGUAAUCCUUAUAAAACAAAAUUACAGCUGCUAUCUGAACCACUUCUCUCUCCCUGUUACAGAGUUCAGUGGGACCUAUUCUCAAGUAAGUGCACAUAGAACGAGACAGCAAUCCAUGACAUAGAUUUCAUUGAACUGGACUUUUAAGUGGCUAUAAGUAUUAUUUGUUCCAGGUUUGACUAGAAUUAACUUCCUGAGAGAGGUUAGAUACUAUUUUUAGUGCAUGAAAUAUUUAUUGCACAUGUGUAUGAUAACCGGUAUACUAAUUCGGGUCUAUGUAUGUAGUAAGCCUAUGGGCCGGGGAUUAUAUCACUUCAUUCUGUAGUUCCUUUAGUAGAGAUGAGCUAAAGUUUGGAAUCAGAAUCUACCGUCAACAUUUGACUUUUAGUUAAAUGACUGAUGGAAGUUAAUACAACAUUUGUUCAUUUCUGUUGAAACCAUCAGACACUGUCAAAUGUAAACUGCUAUUGUAUGCAACCUGUCAGAUGUUGAAUACUAUAUACUAUAUGUCAGAUACAGAAUUAUCAUCAUUAUUGUAUUUUCUACGUUUAUUUAUAAAAACAGCAUAUUACAACAAACCAAUUUAAAAUACUACCCCUAAAAUGCAAACUAAACUAAAAGAAUAGAUACAGCAGUUAAAAACAGCAGCAUAAUCUGUUCUAGAAUUCAAGUCAUAAGAAGCCCCAUCUUUGCUGUUCCCCUAAAAUCACCCAGAUAUAGUGUGCUCAGGGAGUCAUUCCAUGUGCAAAGGCACUCUUGUAUACAACUAAGGCUAGGUCUAAGGCCAGUCCAGAGCAUCCCCAAGCUGUGACCCUGCAUUUUCAGAAGGUGUGCAACCCCUCCCAACAUUAGUCAUCCAAACUGGAAUACUUCCUGCUGCCAGAAGGAACCCCUAUACUGCUUGGAUUGUUUCAGUUUGUUAGGUCUCAUCUGAUCUGGUCUAGGGCAGCCUGCACACCAUAAAAUUUAGGCACAUUUAAAAGCACAUGACUUCUAGUAAAGAAUCCUAAGAAUUAUAGUUUGUUAACAGUAGUGGGAAUUGUAAUUCCAUGAGAUGUAAACUACAUUUCCCAGUAGUAUUUGGGUGAAGAAGUCAUGUGCUUUAGAUGUAAAGUGUGUACUUAGUCUACACCCUUCUUGGGAUAAGUGUUAUGAGCAUAUGAGGCUGGUAUCCAGAUUGAAGUAGAUAAUAAAUUCAGUUUUCUGAAGGAAAACCUGGAGCCAAGAUGCCAUCACCCACUGCAACACCUUACCUAAGAAAAGAUGAAGACUGAGCAGAAAAGUAGACCAGAAACAAGAGGAAAGAAUGAAGUAUGAGUGAAAGAAUCAAAGAGAUGAGUGCAAAAUGGGAAGGAGCACAAAAUUUUUUGUUCUGGAAAAAAUCACUACAACAGAACAUGGAAGAAGAAUCCAAAAUAAAGCAAAAACAAUAGCAUAAAGGCCAUACAUUGGACUAGAGGUGUAAUCAGAUUAACAGGUGUUAAGUUAAAUAGAUAUUAUCAAAGGAGUUAUCAAAAGAGGAAGAUUAAAUUAUUUUGGGAAGGAGAGCAUGCAACCAUUUGUCUCCCAAAUCUAGACACUCCCACUGUUCUAAAUGUUCAUACAGAUUGCACAUUUUCUGAGAUGCAGUAGAGUACUUUUUCUAGCUGCACAAUUUCCAGCAUCACUGGCCUGAGAAGAGACUCCUGCCUAAAAUUCUCAAGAGUCACUGCUCGUCAGUGUAGACAGUACUGAGCUAAAUUAACCAAUGGUCUGACUUAGUAUAAGGCAGCUUCCUGUGUUCCUAGGGCUUUUAUACUCUCAGGAAGUAGAUCAAAGAUGCCCAGGGAUUUCAAGUUUAUGCCUAAAAAUGUAAGGUGUGUGGCUCCAUCAAACAGGCAUUUGAAAACACAUAAUACAGGUGCACUUGUCGGAUAAAUACCUAAGUUUCACUAUGACUCCUUAUUGAGGCUACACCCAGUAGCAAACAUAUUUCCCAUAAGUUUGCAGAAGGCUGUAUUUCACAGAACACUUUACCUUUAGAGAAAAACCUGUUGAUUAACGCUCAUGAAGCUGGUUCAGCAUUAAGAGAAGACGGCAACUCGUUUUCUUCUGGUGGCAGAUGACUUUGUUUCAUUUAGUUUUUCUUCUGUUACAACCACCUUGCCUUCUUCAAACAUGUGUUUUAUCACCAGAUUCCAUUCUGAUGUCACAAAGCAGCCAGAUAUUCUCUUGUAAGCAUAUUUCUUUCUUUGGUUUUCACAAGAAGCCUUUGAAAAUUAAGAUACUGCAGGAUAGGUUGUAUAGAUCCCAAAAGACACAUUAGUGCACAAUGAAUUUUUAAAGGAUUAUGCUGGAGAUGAUAUUUUUUUUUGUAAACUUUGGGCACUGAAGUGUUCCAGGUGGAUUUCCCCACUAAUGCCACACAUGCAUUUAACAAUGAGGGAAAGGGGGAAGAGAACAGGAGAAUAUCCCAGUGGGUGCAUAUCAUAAAGCCCUGUAUUCAGAGCACACUUUUGCUAGCUGUUCUUUUGUGAUACAGAUUCAUGAAUAUCAAAGGAUAGAGAGGUUUGUCCUGAACUCAAAGCCAACUGGUAAAAUGUCUUUCUUUCUUUCUUUUUGUGUUGAGCCUACAAAACAGGAAACAGAUUCUGCCACAUGCUCUACUAUUCUUAAAUGGCAUUCCCCUGAAAACAAAGAGCAAGAAAAGGUCAAAUAAACUUCAGAUUUGCUGGACAGUAUAUUUCAGCCUGAAAGACUCAUCCAGCAUAGGCAUUAGGUUUGUCCUGUCCCAUACCUUGUGCUACAAACAAGCUGAGGUCAUUUGUUCAGGAUAUUUUUCUCAAUAAGAAGUCCAGGCCAGUGCACAAAUAUAAUAUAUGCUGUGGAGACGUGACUCAGCCAAGGAUCCUGUAUUCAGUAGGCAAGUGGAAGCCAAGACAGAGCCUUUUGCUUGAGAGGAACAUUGCAGAGAAUGAAGGGUCCGAUGAGAUUAGAUUCAGGGAGGUAGCCACGUUGGUCUGACGCAGUCGAAAUAAAUAAAUAAAAGUCCAGUAGCACCUUAGAGACAAACUAAGUUUGUUCUGGGUAUAAGCUUUUGUGUGUAUCUGAAGAAGUGUGCAUGCACACGAAAUCUUAUUCCCAGAACAAACUUAGUUGGUCUCUAAGGUGCUACUGGACUACGUUUUUAUUCCAGUCCCAUGAGAUGUGAGCUGACAAUAAGGCCAGAACACAACUCAUGUGACUAUGAGCUCAAAGCAAAGUUUGACCCAGAAGAAUAGUCAACUGUUAUGCACCAGGUCUCACCAAUCUUUUUGGGCCCAUGAGCACAAAUACUAAGAUUACAGUCCUAAAUUUAACUAAUCACACUGAAUACAACAGGUUUUAGGGGUGACCCACAAGACACUGAUCUACUAUGAAGGACAAUGUAACUCCCAAAGUGGAUUUCUACAGCAGAAGGGAAAUGGCCAGAUAGGUUUAUCAUCAAAGAACCAAGGAGAGCUUAAACUGAAAUGUACCAAUGCUUACCUUAUGUAACAUCUUUAUUGUGAAUAUGGCUAUUGUCCAUAGAAUGAGGUUUCUCCCAGUGCAGGCAGCAUUCCCUAUGUUUGUUUUAAAAUACAAGGUUCCAAGUUACUGUAUUUUUCGCCCCAUAGGGUGCACCGGGCCAUAGGGCGCACCUAGUUUUUUUGGGGGGAAAUAAAGAAAAAAAUAUAUUUCCCCCGCAGGUGCGGGGCUGGGGCGGGGGAAGCCCGAGCUUCCCCCGAUCCCAGCCCCCAGAACAGGUUGCUAUCCGCAAGCCGUGGGACAGCUGCGCGACUUCGCACAGCUCUCCCACGGCUUGCGGAGAGAGCGAAGUCGCACAGCUCUCCCACGGCUUGCGGAGAGCUUCCCGAAGCCUGGAGAGCGAGAGGGGUCGGUGCGCACCGACCCCCCUCGCUCUCCAGGCUUCAGCGAAAGCCUGCAUUCGCCCCAUAGGACGCACACACAUUUCCCCUUCAUUUUUGGAGGGGAAAAAGUGCGUCCUACAGGGCGAAAAAUACGGUAUUUUUUCCUGUAACUUGUUUUAGCAGUUCUGCAAUAUACUGAAAUAACACUUUCCCCUGAUAUGUCAUAUGCCAAUUUGACCCACAGGUUAACUAUAAAAUACACCAUUAAAACUUCCUUUUAUUACUUUGCACAUUGUUGGUUUUGAAUCUGCCUUAUGUUCUUGAUUAAUGCAAAGGUUAAACGAAGGAAAAGAACUCAAUUUGUCUUUCCAGUGCUAUUCAUUUAUUAUCUGCCAUGCCUGCUCCUCUUGAUGUCCCUUCUGAAUUAAUUAGUUUGCAUCUUUUCAGCCUCUUAGCAUAUAAAAAUGACCUAAGACUUUCAUUCAUUUUUCUAUUCUCUAGAUGUUUUCUAUUUCUGUUACCGGUAUGUUCUCUUGAGGAGCUUGGAUGAGAGAACUUGAACAUGUCUGGGUAGGUUUAAAACUGAUUUACAGAACAAUUAUUCCUCUUAUUUUUAGGACUGCCAUAGUUUGCAGUGCUUACUUCUAUGCUAGAGGCUUUCAACAAUCACGCUUUGUCUGCACUGGUUCGUUAAGAACCGUGCAAGAUCAUUGGAAAAUAUUGUUUAUUUUAAUGCAAUAAGAACUUAAGAAGAGUCUGCUGGAUCAGGCCUGUGGCCCACCAAGUCCAACAUCCUGUUCUCACAGUGAACGACCAGAUGCCCAUGAGAAGCCCACAAGCAGGAUCUGAGCGCAAUGUCUAUCCCAUUUUAAAACCAUGCUUGCCCACAACCCUUGUGCUUAAAACUAACUAGACCAUAGAUCUCAUUCUCGUUGCUAUGCACACCUGGCUUUUACAUCAAAUGCAUGGUGUCACCUUCCUCCAUUUCACUCUAUAUACAGUACCUCCAACAUAAUUUCAUCCCCAUCCUUGAACUGUUCUCGGUUUCAUCCCAUAUUCCUCUCUUUGCCACUUCAUCGCCACAACAACAUGGGAAGAUUCUGCUAAUUUAGGCCAAUGACCCAUCUAGGGCAGCAUCCUGUUCUCAAAGUGGCUAAACAAAAAACAUUAAGCAGGACCUAACCGAUCAGAAGGUCAGCGGUUUGAAUCCCCGUGACGGGGUGAGCUCCCGUUGCUCGGUCCCUGCUCCUGCCAACCUAGCAGUUCGAAAGCACGUCAAAGUACAAGUAGAUAAAUAGGUAUCGCUCCAGCGGGAAGGUAAACGGUGUUUCCGUGUGCUGCUCUGGUUCGCCAGAAGCGGCUUAGUCAUCCUGGCCACAUGACCCGGAAGCUGUACGCCGGCUCCCUCGGGCAAUAAAGCGAGAUGAGCGCUGCAACCCCAGAGUCGGCCACGACUGGACCUAAUGGUAUAACAGCACUCUCCUCGCAUGUGAUUCCCAGCAACUGGCAUUCGGAGGUUUUACAGCCUCUGACACUCGUAGAACGUAGCCGUCAUGGUGAGUAGGCAUUGAUAACCUCCAUGAAUUUGUCUAACCCUCUUUCAAAGCAAUUCAAGUUGGUGGCUAUCACUACCUCUCGUGGGAGCAAAUUCCAUAGUUUAACAAUGUGCUUUGUGUUAAGUUCUUCAUUUUGUCCAAUUUAAGGAAACUGGGAUGCAGCAGUCAUGCUCCUGUAGAUUUAUGCCUGCUUUUGGCAAAGUCCUUGGGAUUGCAAUUAAUUUGGGGGGGGGGAGAAACCCUGAGCCUCGACUGCUUACAAACCUUUAAGACAUGUGCCCCCUUAAGUAGGUCUAGCCUAUAGUUUGAGAUAAAGCUGUUUUAAUAUGCAAUACCUGGAACCUGCCUACAAGGAAUUACACGGGGGGGGUGUCUAUUGGGUUGUUGUUUUUAUUUUUAGAAUGUAUUUUGUGGUUUUAGAUCUUGAUUUUAUUCUGUGAACCGCCCUGAGACCCCCAGGUAUAGGGCGGUAUAUUAAUAAUAAUAAUAAUAAUAAUAAUAAUAAUAAUAAUAAUUUGUGGUGUAGAUGAGUUGCAGAUAAGUAUUUAUAUUAUGUAUUUGUAAUAUAGGAAUCUUCUUUACAGUGGUACCUCGGGUUAAGUACUUAAUUCGUUCCAGAGGUCCGUACUUAACCUGAAACUGUUCUUAACCUGAAGUAGCACUUUAGCUAAUGGGGCCUCCUGCUGCCGCCGCGCCGCCGGAGUAUGAUUUCUGUUCUCAACCUGAAGCAAAGUUCUUAACCUGAAGCACUAUUUCUGGGUUAGCGGAGUGUGUAACCUGAAGCGUCUGUAACCUGAAGCAUAUGUAACCUGAGGUACCACUGUAUAUUAAGUUCUACCAUUGGUCUAUCUAGCUCAGUACUGUCUGCACUGACUGGCUAAGGCUCUCCAAAAUUUCAGACAGGGUUCUCUCCUAGCCCUACCCAUAAUUUUUUUUAAUGGGACUUAAGUGUGUAUAACUACACACAGUUAUUCCAACUGUGCAAUCCCCACUCAUUUAAAUGGGGCUUUGCAUAAGAAACCUUCUAAAUGGAUUGUAUACCCUUCAUAUUUUAGCUGUUUCACAGUGCAUUCCUGUAGUUUAUCUACUUAAAACUCAUUGAGUCCCAUUGAGUCCCAGCUAAGUAUGGACAGGACUGUAGCCUUACGGCAUAUAUUUUCAAUUAAAUGUUGAUUAUAUUAGCCUUUGGCAAUGGUGAAAAAAUGUGGGGUGUAAAUAAAUACACCUAGAAUCACAUAAUAAAGCAUUAAUCUACCAGAUUGCUAGAGGUUAAAGAAAUAAAUGAGUUAAAGUGAUGAGUAAAACAAUAUUUUAUAUAAAUUAUUACUGGUAAGAAAUAUGAAAAUGUGCUCAUCCACAAGUCACCUGAAACCUCAAAAGCAUAAUCUAAAAAGCGUUAGCAUUGGAAAUUGCCCUUGCAAAUACUACAAAGCAAAUGUAAUUAACUUUCUUUCUAAGGUGGAAUUGGUUCUAUGACUUUUGGAGCAUGGUGGAUAAAUGAAAAGGAUGCUCUGCAUCUGAUGGAACAAAUGAAUGCACUCAUUGAUGGAGUCGUGGCGGCAGGUUCAGUAUAUUUUGAAUGAAAGCUAAGUUUCCAUGGUUAGAAGCAGGACUAGAAACUGAGGCAAGCAAAAUGCACAACUGGCGAAGGACCAUAGGACGAGAAUAUACAAUUGCACUGUGUUGCAUAGGAAAGUUCCUUGUACUGAGUCAGACCAUUGGUCCAUCUAGGUCAGUAUCAUCUAUAAUGACUGGCAGCAGUUUUACAGGGUUUCAGGUAGGGUCUCUCAGAGCACUUUCUGGAGAUAUUGGGGAUUGAACCUGGGUCCUUCUGCAUGUCAAGCAGAUGUUCUUCCGCUCAACAACAACCCUUCCCUCACAGAGUGAUGGGCUUUCCCCAAAAGGCCAAUGGUCAAAGCUUAACUUUGUUGUCGUUUAGUCAUGUUCGACUCUUCGUGACCCCAUGGACCAGAGCAUGCCAGGCACUCCUGUCUUCCACUGCCUCCCACAGUUUGGUCAAACUUAUUUUAGUAGCUUCAAGAACACUGUCCAACCAUCUCGUCCUCUGUCGUCCCCUUCUCCUUGUGCCCUCAAUCUUUCCCAACAUCAGGGUCUUUUCCAGGGAGUCUCUCUUCUAUGAGGUUGCCAAAGUAUUGGAGCCUCAAAGCUUAACUAAUAAUCAGUAUGGUAAUUCCAGUCUGCACUUCAGCUAACCCCCCCAACAUAUUAUUAUUAUUAUUAUUAUUAUUAUUAUUAUUAUUAUUAUCCCACCCUUCACCCUAAGGUCCCAGGGUGGGUUACAAUAAUUUUAAACAGUUUAAAAACUUACAAUGAAAAAAUGAAUUGCUUCACCCAGCCAGUUGCAGCCCUUCCUUGAAACCUGCCCUGCUAGCAGGAGAGGAAGACAGACUCUGCAAGUGAAUCUGUGUGAAAGGGCAGCCUGGUUUUUUGCCAACAUGUCUAUUAUUCAUACGGAGGAGGACCCCAGCUUGCUGUUCAACAUAGCAAUGCCCAUCUCUCUCUCUUUCUCCCUCUCUUGCAAGUAGAUCUGCUCACAGUUACUGUUCCCCAUAACGCCUCUAGAGGGAAGUAAGCACCUCUGUAACAGUGUUCACUAUCUUGAGGAGCAGAACAUCACCCUAGAUAUAGCCCUAAUGAAGGGUAUUACCAGGAUAAAACUCCAUAGUUGGGCAAUGGCUAUACUGUACUUGUACCAGUCAGAACAUCACCAAAAUGUGUUAAGUUUUCAAAUUCUCCAGACUCUUCUUAAGACAAGAUGUUGCAUCAAGGGUGGGGAACCUCUCACCCGCCAGAUGUUUCUGAACUAAAAUUCCCAUCAGCCUAAUGGCAGAUAAGGUUAUCAGUAGCUACUAGCCACAAUGGCUGUGUGCUACCUCUUAGUUGACGGCAAUAGGCCUCUAAACACCAGUUGCUGGGAAGCACAACCAGUGAGAGUGAGGUUGUGAGAACCAGAUGCUAGAGUAGAUGGACUUUGGUCUGAUCAGGGCUGGCCUUCCCAUAAAACAGAGUGAAGCACCCACCCCAGGCAGUGGAAGUGCAAGAGGUGGCACUCUGCCCAUCCCACCGCUGCUGCCACUGUCAAGACAGUGGCUGUUCUGGAGCGUGGUGCUGCCACUUGUCUUCCCUGCCCCCUAGCUCUUACCGAGUUCAGUGCAGAAUGCCCUGGCUCUUACUGAGUUGGGUGAGAGCCAGGGCAUUCCGGGGACAGAAGUGGAGUGGGGAGAGACAGCAAUUCUCCCCUGCCCCUGAGACUGAUCCAGCAGGGUUCUUAUGAAUGUUAUGACAUGGAACUCCAAUGAUGGCUCUAGGAAUGGAAUAACAGGCCCUGUCUAGUGGCCCCAUUUCAGUCCCAGGGCUGCCACUGCAGCCCCAGGGGCCAUCAUUUUACUCUCAGGUCUGAAAUUUGACUAACAUGGAUCAUGAUGUCAGUCUCUCAAGCUCUCACUCUCUCAAGCUCUGCCACUGCUACUCCUCAUCAUUUCCUCCUAUCUCUGGGCUCUAUCAUAUUGACCCAUUCCAUACCUUCCCAGGAGCCAUUUUUUGCUUUAUUUAUAGCUUGCAUUUAUUUCAAUGAAGCCCAGUGAUGUAAAUUGGCAUUUGCAGUUCUCACUACAGUGGUACCUCGGGUUACAUACGCUUCAGGUUACAGACUCCGCUAACCAAGAAAUAGUGCCUUGGGUUAAGAACUUUGCUUCAGGAUGAGAACAGAAAUCGUGUGGCGGCGCAGCCGCAGCAAGAGGCCCCAUUAGCUAAAGUGGUCCUUCAGGUUAAGAACAGUUUCAGGUUAAGAACGGACCUCCGGAAUGAAUUAAGUACGUAACCCGAGGUACCUUCAGAUAACUUCCAGUAUUUCUUUUCCUCCUUUUGGUUUGUGUUUUUAUUUACCGGUAGAUUAGGUUUUUUAAAAAAAUAAAUAAAUUGAUAAACAGAUAUUAACCUAUGUAUAAUUUCUUUCAAACUUUAAUAAAAUUUAUUGGGCGGAAACAAACUUCCAGCAUUUCAAAUGUGCAUUUUUGUCAAUCAUUUUACAGCAUCCAUACAACUUCUCUGCAGGAGGAUACUUCAAUGAUUAUCUUUAUUUGGAACAGGUGAUUUAAAUUUCCUCUCUUGAAUGACACUUUAUAGUUUCACAUAUAGUUAUUUGAAAUGAUUUACAGAAAUGAAAAUGUGGCUGAAUUCUAGCUUGUAAAUUACCACUGACUCUGAACCUGCAAUUGUUAAAUACAAUUACUUGGGAACAAUUCACAAUGAAAUCAUUGGAACUUACUUCUGCGUAAACGUGCAUAAAACCAGACAGUGAUAGCUCAAAAUUCACCAGCUGCAUUUUCUGGCAUUUUUUAAACAGCUUAACAGACAGGGAGAUAAUUUGUGUUUAAUGACCUUCACAUCCUCCAAUGCCUGUAAUUGAUAAUGUCUUGAAUACUGACUCAUAUUGUAGUUGACAGGCAUAUAAAAGCUGCUGUCAGAGUAAAAUGUAUAUCUGUUAUGACAAAGGAAGGAUCCUUUUAGUGAUUAUCACAGCAGCCAUCCUCUUUUGGAUGCUAUCUCACCUAAGCUGUGCUUCGUAUAGCCCCUUGCUGCAGGACCACUGGUCAAAGGAAUAUUUACGUACAUAGUAUUUUUUUCCUUAAGGGCAAGUAUUAAAUGUGCUGGGACAAUGUACCCUGAAGCAGAUAAGGAGCAUAAGUAGCUUAAAACUUGGUGGAUAUGGUAUUUGUUUGCUGGGCAGCAAUUAUGCACUGAACAUUCACACUUUGGGAUUAUUAGAAUGUUGUCCCACAGCACAAGUACCAGAGCAACUGUUUCCAUUAAUCCCUUUCUGCUUCUCACUGUUACUUAAGGAAGCACACAGUGUGUGGCGUGCAGCAUGCUUGUAGGAGAAUCAUUUCAUUUCAUUUAUUUAAGUAAUUUAUAUACAACCACUUCAUCAACAGAAUAAACAUCUGAGUGGUUAGGAGCGUUCUACAAAUAUAACUAAAAGCCAAAUACAAUAAAAACUCCACAUUUUAGAGCCACAAAGAACUAUUAGGUAAGAUAUCCUAUUAAAGAUCCAUAUUAACAUAUGGGACCAUAAUAACUACUAAAGGUGAAAGGUAAAGGACCCCUGACAGCUAAGUCCAGUCGCGAAAACUCUGGGAUUGCGGCGCUCAUCUCGCUUUACAGUCAUACCUCGGGUUAAAUAUGCUUCAGGUUGAGCGUUUUCAGGUUAUGCUCUGUGGUGACCUGGAAGUAAUGGAACGUGUUACUUCCGGGUUUCGCCGCUUGCGCAGGCGCUCAAAAUGACGUCACGCGCAGGCGCGGAAGCGGCGAAACACAACGCGCGCAGUCGCAUGUUACAUUCUACUCAGGAUGCGAAUGGGGACAAGGGAGCCGAUGUACUGUACUGUACUGGCCAAGGGAGCCGAUGUUUGUCCGCAGACAGUUUUUCCAGGUCAUGUGGCCAGCAUGACUAAGUCACUUCUGGCGAACCAGAGCAGCGCAUGGAAACGUUGUUUACCUUCCCGCUGGGGCGGUACCUAUUUAUCUACUUGCACUUUGACGUGCUUUUGAACUGCUAGGUUGGCAGGAGCAGGGACUGAACAACGGGAGCUCACCUGUCGCGGGGAUUCGAACCGCCAACCUUCUGAUCGGCAAGCCUAAGGCUCAGUAAUUUACACCACAGCGCCACCCACGUCCCCCGUAACAGCAUGUCCAAAAUACAGAAAAACAAGAGAUAAACAGCCUACCUACAAAAUAUACAUAUAGAAUGUAUUUAUUGGUGGUUGCAGUAUUCUCACUUCUGCUGCUGCCUCCCCAAAUUAAGCUCACAUUAAAAGGUGGGGCAAAAUAACAUAGUACUCACCCUUGGAGCUCUCAGUUGUCAUCAGGUAGGAUGGUAGGACCCAUAAUCAUUCCCUCCCUAAUCUCUAAAAUAUAUAAACUGUUAUUGGAGUGGGAGUGUAAAGACAAGAUGGUUAAGAUGACAGUGAUUAAAUGGGCUAUAGAUAUUGGUUACAAUAUAAAAAUGCUUGGGAGAAACUAUGGGGGGAAACCAUGAAUUUCUCAGCAUGUUAUCUUAUUAAGGAAAACCUACAGAAAAUGUACUGGUGGUACCGGACACCUAGCAAAUUGGUGAAAAUGUAUAGGAAAGGGUCCACAUAUGCAUCAGGGUUGAAGGAACCCUGAUGCAUAUGUGGUGGUUGUGUAAAUACACUAGAGAGUUCUGGGAAAUGAUCCAUAUAGAAUUAAAAAAUAUAUUUAAACUCACAUUUCCUAAAAGACCAGACGCCUUUCUACUAGGGAUAAUAAGUGAUGACUUACCAAAGAAGGCACUCAACCUCUUUUUAUAUGUGACCACUGCAGCUAUAAUAGCCUGUGCAAAAAAAUGGAAAGAAAAAGAUGUACCUGCAAAAGCAAUCAGGCAGAAUAAAUUGAUAGACCAAACAGAAUUAGCAACUAUUAACACAAAAAUAAGAAAUAAAAUGAGACACAGUUAAGAAAAGAGUGGAAGUGUUUUGGAGACGAUCUUAGAAGGAUAUUCAAUUCAACCUGCAAGUGGGAGUAAAUAUAUAAGCAGCAGAUAAUAUCAAAUAAAGGAAGAUUUGAGAUAAAAAUGGGUGGGAGAUCAGGAUAUGCAGCUGAUCAGGGUUUACAUAGGAUGCGACAAAAAGGUGGACUGGGAAGUCCUUAGGAAAUGGAUGUGUGAUUGACAAUGUAUUAUUUAUUUGCAACAGUUGUAAAAAUGCAUAAAUAUUUUUUUAAAAAUCAUUUCCUCCCCCAGACACAUUACUAAUCAACACAAAAACAACAAAAGGGGAUGACACCCUUGUCUUUGGUGUAUUCCAGAAGAGUGAUCUGCAGCAGCACUGGUUACGAGUCCAUGAGCUGGGAGUGUCCUCAAAAACUCACAGAUCUCUCCAACAAACUCUUCUAAAUUACCGGUAUACUGAAGCUUGUCACCACCCAGGCAUAGCAGGACCAUAAUCCAUUGGUUGACAGCUAUCAUCCAGAGCCUUUCUGCUUGUGCCUAAACAAACUGCAAUGUUCAAACAGCCACAUACCUGGAGGAGGGAACAAACUGCUGACAAACCAUUCAGGUUGAGUUGGUGCAGACUGAAUAACAACACAGUAAAUUGUACAUUCAUACACACUGUAUAUUUAUGUAACACUUUAAACAACAGUCUUGACAGACAUUAUCUCCAGUGGAUUUAUCAUGAAGCAUAAUCUAAUAUGAAGGUCUAGUAACUAGGGAUAUAGUUACAAAAUCCCUUCAAGAUCAAUGUGUGAAAAACCAAUCAGAUUUAAUUGUCUUUUUUUCUUUAGGAGGUCACUUUUUUGAUGGGAAAAGCCAAUGUGACAACCACCAUCUUAUUCUCUUUAAUAAAACCUCACCAUGUGAAUGCAAUUUGAUACUUUCUGCAUGAGUAGGGAUUGCAGAACCACAGGGGAGAGGAAAACAGAUGCAGAGGGUUAGAUGUGCAAACCCCCUAUUGACUAAAUGCACAGGAGUGUCUUAUGUCAUUGCUAUAAUGAUGGGGAUAUUUAUAGGGUUUGAAAUGUAGUUUUAUGUAAGAUAGCAUAUUUUCUCAAGCUAAAUGAAUGCCUUUAUUUAUAAUCAAGCCAUCUGUAUUUACAUUUCCUACUAACUUUCCUUAAGAUCUGAAUUAAUAAACUCCCUUACAUUUUCAAGUGGAACUUCUGUAGCUAAGAUCCAUAUUCACACUUCAGGUGUAAAUUGUAAAUAAAGAUACUUGUUUAGCUUUAGCAAAUAUGCUAACUGAACCUUAUAAGGUUGUUGCAAGGCUUUCUGAGAAGUGUUUUGAUGGCUUAGAAAAAGCACAACCAAAGAACUAAGUACAGUGGGUUAAGUAUUUAAUUCGUUCCGGAGGUCCG
rnacentral:lncRNA from 1 species